rnacentral:snRNA from 1 species
GUGCUCAUUUCAGCAGCACAUAUGCUAAAAUUGGAACGAUACAGAGAAGAUUAGCAUGGCCCCUGUGCAAGGAUGACAUGCAAAUUCAUGAAGCGUUGCAUAUUUUU